GAGAACUUAGCAGAGAUUGCUUUGGUGCCUUCGGGAACUCUGAGACAGGUGCUGCAUGGCUGUCGUCAGCUCGUGUUGUGAAAUGUUGGGUUAAGUCCCGNAACGAGCGCAACCCUUAUCCUUUGUUGCCAGCGGUUCGGCCGGGAACUCAAAGGAGACUGCCGGUGAUAAACCGGAGGAAGGUGGGGAUGACGUCAAGUCAUCAUGGCCCUUACGGCCAGGGCUACACACGUGCUACAAUGGCGCAUACAAAGAGAAGCGACCUCGCGAGAGCAAGCGGACCUCAUAAAGUGCGUCGUAGUCCGGAUUGGAGUCUGCAACUCGACUCCAUGAAGUCGGAAUCGCUAGUAAUCGUAGAUCAGAAUGCUACGGUGAAUACGUUCCCGGGCCUUGUACACACCGCCCGUCACACCAUGGGAGUGGGUUGCAAAAGAAGUAGGUAGCUUAACCUUCGGGAGGGCGCUUACCACUUUGUGAUUCAUGACUGGGGUGAAGUCGUAACAAGGUAGGCGUAGCGAG
rnacentral:rRNA from 1 species